GACAGAGGCCCCGAGCGUUAGGCGGAAUCACUGGGCUUAAAGCGUGUGUAGGCGGAUCGUUAAGUGUCGUGUGAAAUCCCACGGCUCACCCGUGGAACUGCUGGGCAUACUGGCGAUCUUGGGCCGUUCAGGGGCGACUGGAACAAGCGGUGGAGCGGUGAAAUGCGUAGAUAUCGCUUGGAACGCCGAAGGUGAAAACAGCUCGCUGGGGGUUUGCUGACGCUGAGACACGAAAGCCAGGGGAGCAAACGGG
rnacentral:rRNA from 1 species